rfam:Trichomonas vaginalis G3, whole genome shotgun sequence.
GCUUUCGUAGCUCAAUCGGUAGAGCGUAGGUCUCAUAAUCCUAAGGUCGCGCGUUCGAGUCCCGCCGAAAGCA